rnacentral:tRNA from 1 species
GUGGUGGCUCAGUGGUAGAGUGUUUGCCUAGCACGCAUGAGGCACUGGGUUCAAUCCUCAGCACCACA